CCUGGCUCACGACGAACGCUGGCGGCGCGCCUAACACAUGCAAGUCGAACGAGCGAGAGAGAGCUUGCUUUCUCAAGCGAGUGGCGAACGGGUGAGUAACGCGUGAGGAACCUGCCUCAAAGAGGGGGACAACAGUUGGAAACGACUGCUAAUACCGCAUAAGCCCACGGCUCGGCAUCGAGCAGAGGGAAAAGGAGCAAUCCGCUUUGAGAUGGCCUCGCGUCCGAUUAGCUAGUUGGUGAGGUAAUGGCCCACCAAGGCGACGAUCGGUAGCCGGACUGAGAGGUUGAACGGCCACAUUGGGACUGAGACACGGCCCAGACUCCUACGGGAGGCAGCAGUGGGGAAUAUUGCACAAUGGGGGAAACCCUGAUGCAGCGACGCCGCGUGGAGGAAGAAGGUCUUCGGAUUGUAAACUCCUGUUGUUGAGGAAGAUAAUGACGGUACUCAACAAGGAAGUGACGGCUAACUACGUGCCAGCAGCCGCGGUAAAACGUAGGUCACAAGCGUUGUCCGGAAUUACUGGGUGUAAAGGGAGCGCAGGCGGGAAGACAAGUUGGAAGUGAAAUCCAUGGGCUCAACCCAUGAACUGCUUUCAAAACUGUUUUUCUUGAGUAGUGCAGAGGUAGGCGGAAUUCCCGGUGUAGCGGUGGAAUGCGUAGAUAUCGGGAGGAACACCAGUGGCGAAGGCGGCCUACUGGGCACCAACUGACGCUGAGGCUCGAAAGUGUGGGUAGCAAACAGGAUUAGAUACCCUGGUAGUCCACACUGUAAACGAUGAUUACUAGGUGUUGGAGGAUUGACCCCUUCAGUGCCGCAGUUAACACAAUAAGUAAUCCACCUGGGGAGUACGACCGCAAGGUUGAAACUCAAAGGAAUUGACGGGGGCCCGCACAAGCAGUGGAGUAUGUGGUUUAAUUCGACGCAACGCGAAGAACCUUACCAAGUCUUGACAUCCCUUGACGAUGCUGGAAACAGUAUUUCUCUUCGGAGCAAGGAGACAGGUGGUGCAUGGUUGUCGUCAGCUCGUGUCGUGAGAUGUUGGGUUAAGUCCCGCAACGAGCGCAACCCUUAUGGUCAGUUACUACGCAAGAGGACUCUGGCCAGACUGCUGUUGACAAAACGGAGGAAGGUGGGGAUGACGUCAAAUCAUCAUGCCCUUUAUGACUUGGGCUACACACGUACUACAAUGGCGUUAAACAAAGAGAAGCAAGACCGCGAGGUGGAGCAAAACUCAGAAACAACGUCCCAGUUCGGACUGCAGGCUGCAACUCGCCUGCACGAAGUCGGAAUUGCUAGUAAUCGCAGAUCAGCAUGCUGCGGUGAAUACGUUCCCGGGCCUUGUACACACCGC
rnacentral:rRNA from 1 species